rnacentral:rRNA from 1 species
UCGUCGGCAGCAUCAGAUGGUUAUAAGAGACAGCUUAAUAGUGCGAAUGAAUGCGUGGGAUCAGACCCGAAACCGAGUGAUCUAGGCAUGGCCAGGUUGAAGGUGCAGUAACAUGCACUGGAGGACCGAACCCACAUCUGUUGAAAAAGAUCGGGAUGAGCUGUGCCUAGGGGUGAAAGGCCAAUCAAACUCGGAGAUAGCUGGUUCUCUGCGAAAUCUAUUUAGGUAGAGCGUCGUACGAAUACCCCGGGGGGUAGAGCACUGGAUGGGUAAUGGGGACUCACCGUCUUACUGAUCCUAACCAAACUCCGAAUACCCGGGAGUACUAUACGGCAGACACACUGCGGAUGCUAACGUCCGUAGUGGAGAGGGAAACAACCCUGACCUCCAGCUAAGGCCCCUAAUUCAUGGCUAAGUGGGAAAGCAGGUGGGAUGUCCAAAACAACCAGGAAGUUGGCUUAGAAGCAGCCAUCUUUUAAAGAUAGCGUAACAGCUCACUGGUCUAAUUAAGACGUCCUGCGGCGAAGAUGUAACGGGGCUCAAGCCAUGAGCCGAAGCUGAGGAUGCACAUAGUGCAUGGUAGCAGAGCGUAGUGUGACAUAGUUCCAUGUCUCCUUACCUACUUCGGUAGGAUUGGAGACACGGAGCUUUCGAUGAAGCGGGCGCGUGAGCGAUCCCGUGGAGAGAUCACUAGCGAGAAUGAUGACAUGAGUAGCGACAAAGAGUGUGAGAGACACUCUCGCCGAAAGUCCAAGGGUUCCUGCUUAAAGCUAAUCUGAGCAGGGUAAGCCGACCCCUAAGGCGAGGCCGAAAGGCGUAGUCGAUGGGAACCAGGUUAAUAUUCCUGGGCCAUGAGGUGGUGACGGAUCUCGAAGGUAGUUCAUCCUUAUUGGAUUGAAUGGGCUGCUGAGAGGUUCCUGGAAAUAGCCCCUCUAUAAGAUCGUACCCUAAACCGACACAGGUGGACUGGUAGAGAAUACCAAGGCGCUUGAGAGAACGAUGUUGAAGGAACUCGGCAAAAUACCUCCGUAAGUUCGCGAGAAGGAGGCCCGGGUCCUACGCAAGUGGAAUCCGGGGGCACAAACCAGGGGGUGGCGACUGUUUAUUAAAAACACAGGGCUCUGCGAAGUCGCAAGACGACGUAUAGGGUCUGACGCCUGCCCGGUGCCUGAAGGUUAAAAGGAGGGGUGAGAGCUCUGAAUUGAAGCCCAGGUAAACGGCGGCCGUAACUAUAACGGUCCUAAGGUAGCGAAAUUCCUUGUCGGGUAAGUUCCGACCUGCACGAAUGGCGUAACGACUUCCCCGCUGUCUCCAACAUCGACUCAGCGAAAUUGAAUUGCCUGUCAAGAUGCAGGCUUCCCGCGGUUAGACGGAAAGACCCCGUGCACCUUUACUACAGCUUCGCACUGGCAUCAGGAUUGUGACGUGCAGGAUAGGUGGUAGGCAUCGAAACGUGAACGCUAGUUCACGUGGAGCCUCCCUUGAGAUACCACCCUUCGCACUCUUGAUGUCUAACCGCGGUCCGUUAUCCGGAUCCGGGACCCUGCGUGGCGGGUAGUUUGACUGGGGCGGUCGCCUCCUAAAGCGUAACGGAGGCGCGCGAAGGUUGGCUCAGAGCGGUCGGAAAUCGCUCGUUGAGUGCAAUGGCAAAAGCCAGCCUGACUGCGAGACUGACAAGUCGAGCAGAGACGAAAGUCGGCCAUAGUGAUCCGGUGGUCCCGAGUGGAAGGGCCAUCGCUCAACGGAUAAAAGGUACGCCGGGGAUAACAGGCUGAUACUGCCCAAGAGUCCAUAUCGACGGCAGUGUUUGGCACCUCGAUGUCGGCUCAUCUCAUCCUGGGGCUGGAGCAGGUCCCAAGGGUACGGCUGUUCGCCGUUUAAAGAGGUACGUGAGCUGGGUUUAGAACGUCGUGAGACAGUUCGGUCCCUAUCUGCCGUGGGUGUAGGAUACUUGAGAGGAGUUGCCCCUAGUACGAGAGGACCGGGGUGAACGAACCACUGGUGGACCAGUUGUCGUGCCAACGGCAGUGCUGGGUAGCUAUGUUCGGACAGGAUAACCGCUGAAGGCAUCUAAGCGGGAAGCCCCCCUCAAAACAAGGUAUCCCUGAGGGCCGAGGUAGACCACCUCGUCAAUAGGCCAGAGAUGUAAGCGUGGUAACACGUUCAGUUGACUGGUACUAAUCGCCCGAUUGGCUUGAUC